rnacentral:misc_RNA from 1 species
UCUCCGUUGGUGAACCAGCGGAGGGAUCAUUACCGAGUUUACAACUCCCAAACCCACUGUGAACCAUACCAAACUGUUGCCUCGGCGGGGUCACGCCCCGGGUGCGUCGCAGCCCCGGAACCAGGCGCCGGCCGGAGGGACCAACCAAGCACCUGCUGUAGUCCCCUCGCGGACGUUAUUUUUACAGCUCUGAGCAAAAAUUCAAAAUGAUUCAAAACUCUCAACAACGGAUCUCUUGGUUCUG